rnacentral:rRNA from 1 species
UACGUAGGUGGCGAGCGUUGUUCGGAUUUAUUGGGCGUAAAGGGUCUGUAGGAGGUUUGUUAAAUACGGGGUGAAAUCCCGAAGCUCAACUUCGGAAUUGCCUUGUAGACUGACGGACUGGAGUACCGGAGAGGUAAGCGGAAUACCAGGUGUAGCGGUGGAAUGCGUAGAUAUCUGGUAGAACACCAAAAGCGAAGGCAGCUUGCUGGACGGAAACUGACUCUGAAAGACGAAAGCAUGGGGAGCAAACAGGAUUAGAUACCCUGGUAGUCCAUGCCGUAAACGUUGUCAACUUGAUGUGGGGGGAUUUAGUCCUCUCCGUAUCGAAGCUAACGCGAUAAGUUGACCGCCUGGGGACUACGGCCGCAAGGCUAAA